CAACCACGGAUUUAGUGUUACAUUUUCGCGCUCCGUCGCUUUCUUAUGAUAUUCUCGUUAAUUUAAGCUUUUCUUCGACCCGAACAGGACAGAUAUGGUAAAGAUGAUUUCAGGAAGGCGCCAAACGGAAACAUACCGACAUCGACGAUUCCUCCGAUAGUCAGGACGAUUAUGAGAAUGGCACAUCCUCUAUGGCGUCAAAACGUCAAAAACUGAACAACUAUUCUCUGGACCUAUCAACUCAAGAAUUAAAGGAGACGUUGAAGACAACCGCAAGGUGUCGCCUUUGCAGACGAGGAUGCAUAUUGGCACCUUGCCGAUCAAUUCUACCAGGCUCCCAGUGAUGGCGAUGACGGCGAUGAAAAUGAAAUUGAUGAGAGUGACGACGAUGAUGCUGGUGAUGAUGAUGAUGUAUCAAAUUCUGAUUAUGAUUGAGAUGACGAAUUCGGUGAUACAGAUGAAGAAGGCAGUAACGAGAGGGAUACUAGUGAUGACGAGGAGGAUGACAAUGAAAAUGACGACGACGAGGAUGAUGAAGACGAAGUUGAUGAUGACGAUGAUAGGAUGACUGAGGAAGAAAUCGGUCUUCUUAUUUAUGAAAUUUUCAAUGGCAGCCACAACGUCUCCCCUUAUGACGCUGAGGA